GACGAACGCUGGCGGCGUGCUUAACACAUGCAAGUCGAACGAAGUGGCGCACGGGUGAGUAACGCGUAAUCAACCUGCCCUUCAGAGGGGGACAACAGUUGGAAACGACUGCUUAUACCGCAUACUGAAGGAGGGGAGUUCGUCUGAUGAGCUAGUUGGAGGGGUAACGGCCCACCAAGGCGAUGAUCAGUAGCCGGUCUGAGAGGAUGAACGGCCACAUGGGGACGGAGACACGGGUCAGACUCCUUAGGGAGGCAGCAGGGGGGAAUCUUCCGCAAUGGACGAAAGGCUGACGGAGCAACGGCGCGGGAGUGAUGGCGGCCUUCGGGUUGGAAAGCUCUGUUAAUCGGGACGCGGUACCGGAAUAGAAAGCCACGGCUAACUACGUGCCAGCAGCCGCGGUAAUUC
rnacentral:rRNA from 1 species